GCAUGCGGGUGGUUCAUUAAGUCAGAUGUGAAAGCCCGGGGCUCAACCUCGGAACUGCAUUUGAAACUGGUGAACUAGAGUACUGUAGAGGGGGGUAGAAUUUCAGGUGUAGCGGUGAAAUGCGUAGAGAUCUGAAGGAAUACCAGUGGCGAAGGCGGCCCCCUGGACAGAUACUGACACUCAGAUGCGAAAGCGUGGGGAGCAAACAGGAUUAGAUACCCUGGUAGUCCACGCCGUAAACGAUGUCUACUUGGAGGUUGUGGCCUUGAGCCGUGGCUUUCGGAGCUAACGCGUUAAGUAGACCGCCUGGGGAGUACGGUCGCAAGAUUAAAACUCAAAUGAAUUGACGGGGGCCCGCACAAGCGGUGGAGCAUGUGGUUUAAUUCGAUGCAACGCGAAGAACCUUACCUACUCUUGACAUCCAGAGAAGCCAGCGGAGACCCAGGUGUGCCUUCGGGAACUCUGAAACAGGUGCUGCAUGGCUGUCGUCAGCUCGUGUUGUGAAAUGUUGGGUUAAGUCCCGCAACGAGCGCAACCCUUAUCCUUGUUUGCCAACGAGUAAUGUCCGGAACUCCAGGGAGACUGCCGGUGA
rnacentral:rRNA from 1 species